CACAGUCCAGUACCGGGGCAGACACGCGGGCAGUUUCUGCGCAGCGCAAGAUCCUCGGAGAAGGGGGACACGUUUCCCCCGCAUCCCAUGGGAGAUGACUGUGUCCAGGACUCUGUGCAAAUACUAAAAGCUGUAGAGGCUCCGGCUCCCUGCGGGAAAUGAUGUAGAACAACGCACGCAGUCAGCCCGCCACGCCCGCAGACUCCUGGUGGUGGGACACAAACAGUACAGGAUUCAAAAUUUAAAAAAAAAAAAUCCAGAUGUAAGUUGAAACUGCUUGAAUGGCUCAAGAAGAAAAUGGGAAAAAAUUAAAAUCACAG